AACCUCAGUUCGAUAAGAAAUUAUUUCACCGAAUUGCUAGCAAAAAAGUGUGGUGGUGGGCACCCGGAUACCCGGGUGCUCACAUAAGGGUUAAUUGUUGAUUCACGGCUAGUCAUAAACCUAGAAAUUCCUUUAAUAUCGUAUGAACCGUCAAACGUAUAUAAAUUAAAUCCACUUCCAAUAAAUUACAAAGGGAAUAUGAUUAUUCCAGAAAUAAAGGCAGAAUAUUUAAUAUACAAGUUUGAUUUAAAUCAAUAUUCACUUAUAAACCAAGUAGAUCUAGAUAAAUGUUCUACUAACUCAGAGAAUCAUUACCAAUGUCCUGGAAAUUUAACUUGGAAAUCAGCGACGGAUAAUUCAUGUGAAGUAGCAGCUUUAAAACAAUUAGAAAAUGAAGCAUGUGAUUUCAAACCUUCUACAAAUGAAAACGUUUGGAUAAAAUUAUCUUCUCAAAAUCGGUGGCUUUACAAAUUAUUUAGCAAAGCAAUGAUAUAUCUAGAAUGUGAUAAUAAUCAACAAAUGCAUAUAGAAAUCCCUAGUCAAGGCAUUAUGACAAUAAGAGAAGGAUGCACUGUCCGGCAUGAAGGAGUAACUGUAACAGCAUCCCAUCACAUACAAUCUGAAAUUAAAAAAUAAUUGCUAUCCUCUUCUUGGGUGAAAGAUAUUGAAGAUAUUCCAGAACUACAAGUAAAACCUUUUGAUUCAACAUUAAUAAACAAUACUAAAGAUAUCGUACAUCUUAAACAACAAAUAGAACUCCUCAAAACAGAAAAUAUAAAAUUAAAAGAAACCAUAAAUGAAAAUACACGGGACAACUGAUACUCUUAUGUUUUGAGACGAUAGAAAAUGCUGCACUUUUGCCUGUUUAGAACGCAAUACAUUAAGAAAAGAACACACAACUUUCACAGCCCGUGCACAGAGCAUUAUAACUGAAAAAUUUUUGUGAGAAAAGAAAUCGUUAUAAGAUACCUUAAAUUGCCCUAAAUAUACGGUAUAAAGCCAACCGGAAAUUUGAAAAUGUUA